GCAUCUCACACUUUUUCUUCCAAUAACUCUUGCCAUAAUCUAACUUUAUCAGUUGGAAAACGAGCAUAAAUUAAUCCUAGGAGCAUCAACUACAUAACUGCAAGAACAAAGAAUUAUAGAAAAAAACCCAUUUGCGAUAUUAUAAAACUCACCCGAAUCUGGCAAAAUUGACGAUAUAUGUUACAAAUAGGUCGAUUACCUUAGCCUCUGUGGAUUUCUUAUCAAAGUCGGGAAAUAAAAGAGGACUUCGGAACAAAUAUAACAACUCAUCGCCAUGAACAACUCCAUAUUUUCCGGUUACAUUUGAUUGGGUAUAGAGCGAGGCAUAACUAAACGGACCCUUAUAACUGAAUUUGAACAAAUACUGAUAAAACCAGUUCCGUCCUUUGCUUGUAUGAUGAUCUUUGACAGUUUUAUAGAGAGGGUGUUUAAAACCUCUGUCGGAGAUUGACUAGUGUAAAACAAAACUUUGUAAUGAAACAAUAUAAAUGAAUUUUUUGCUACUUA